rnacentral:rRNA from 1 species
AUGCCGGAAUGAGUAGCGAGAAAUAGGUGAGAAUCCUAUUGGCCGAAUAUCCAAGGAUUCCAGGGUAAAGCUGAUCUGCCCUGGGUAAGUCGGGGCCUAAGGCGAGGUCGGAAGACGUAGCCGAUGGACAACAGGUGGAGAUUCCUGUACUGCAUAUGGUCAGAACUGUGGGGACACGGGGUGUUAACGGAAGCCGGGAAAGGAAAGACCGGCCCAAGCACAGGAGGCGUUGCGCAGGCAAAUCCGCGCAAUAAGCCAGAGGUGUGACGGGGAGCGAAAUAAAAGUAGCGAAGUCCGGAUACAUGCUGUCAAGAAAAGCCGCUAUUGCGCCAUAUGUACCCGUACCGUAAACCGACACAGGUGGAUGAGGAGAGAAUCCUAAGGCCGGCGGGAGAAGUGUUGUUAAGGAACUCGGCAAAAUGGCCCCGUAACUUCGGGAGAAGGGGCGCCCAGAAAUGGGCCGCAGAGAAAAGGCUCAAGCAACUGUUUAGCAAAAACACAGGUCUAUGCGAAACCGAAAGGUGAGGUAUAUGGGCUGACGCCUGCCCGGUGCUGGAAGGUUAAGGGGAGAGGUUAGCCGCAAGGCGAAGCUUUGAACUUAAGCCCCAGUAAACGGCGGCCGUAACUAUAACGGUCCUAAGGUAGCGAAAUUCCUUGUCGGGUAAGUUCCGACCCGCACGAAAGGCGUAAUGAUUUGAGCACUGUCUCGACAACACACCCGGUGAAAUUGAAAUACCAGUGAAGAUGCUGGUUACCUGCGCCAGGACGGAAAGACCCCAUGGAGCUUUACUCUAGUUUGAUACUGGGACCCGGUAUGACAUGUACAGGAUAGGUGGGAGGCAGAGAAUUAAUGACGCCAGUCAUUAAGGAGCCGGUGUUGGGAUACCACCCUUGUGAUGCCAGGUUUCUAACGAGCUGCCGUGAACCGGCAGGCGGACAAUGUCAGGCGGGGAGUUUGACUGGGGCGGUCGCCUCCGAAAGGGUAUCGGAGGCGCUCAAAGGUUCCCUCAGAAUGGUUGGAAACCAUUCGGAGAGUGCAAAGGCAGAAGGGAGCCUGACUGCGACACCGACGGGUGGAGCAGGUACGAAAGUAGGACUUAGUGAUCCGGUGGUAUAAAGUGGGAUUGCCAUCGCUCAACGGAUAAAAGCUACCCUGGGAUAACAGGCUUAUCACUCCCAAGAGUUCACAUCGACGGAGUGGUUUGGCACCUCGAUGUCGGCUCAUCGCAUCCUGGGGCUGGAGUAGGUCCCAAGGGUUGGGCUGUUCGCCCAUUAAAGCGGUACGCGAGCUGGGUUCAGAACGUCGUGAGACAGUUCGGUCCCUAUCCGGCGCGGGCGUAAGAGAUUUGAGAGGAGCUGUCCUUAGUACGAGAGGACCGGGAUGGACGGACCACUGGUGUAUCUGUUGCACCACCAGGUGCACGGCAGAGUAGCCAAGUCUGGAAGGGAUAAACGCUGAAGGCAUCUAAGCGUGAAGCCCCCCUCAAGAUAAGAUCUCUCAUUCGAAAGAAGUAAGACCCCUUGAAGACGACGAGGUAGAUAGGGCAGGGGUGGAAGGGCAGUAAUGUCCGGAGCUGACUGUUACUAAUCGGUCGAGGGCUUGAUC